rnacentral:rRNA from 1 species
CCAUGCUGUAUAUGGGCGUGAUGAUGGCCGCGUUUGUGGUAACAGCGGUCAUUCUCAUCCAGCGUUUUUACAAAAACCUGCUCGGCAGUGAGGGUUACCUCAUGUUCACGCUGCCGGUCACGGUUUCGCAGCACCUGCUCAGCAAGACCAUUAUCGCGGUCGUGAUGAUUGGUUUGAGCGGUCUGUCGGCACUCAUCAGCAUCUUCAUUUUUGCGGAUAGGAUGAUUCUGUCGAUGGAUGAGGUGUGGCAGGCUUUUACCGGUCUGAGCACUCUGCUGCCGCACAGCGGUCAGGAGUUCCUGUUUGAACUGGAGCUGCUCGUGCUGGCUGUCCUCGGCAUUGCGGGCAUGGCGCUGUUCCUCUAUAUGUGCAUUGCGCUCGGUCAUCUGGCAAGCCGUCACCGCCUGCUCAUGUCGAUCGUGUGGUACGUUGUUCUUUCUACCGCACUGCAGGUUCUCCUGCUUAUGGUGAUGAUGGGUGCGGGCAAUGCCGUGACAUGCGAGGUUAAGGAGUACAGCUCCGGAGCCGAAGGGAAACCAAGUCUUAACUGGGCGUCUAGUAUGUUAAUGCAGACCCGAAACCGGGUGACCUAUCCAUGGGCAGGUUGAAGUUACCGUAAAAGGUAAUGGAGGACCGAACUCACAUCUGUUGAAAAAGGUGGAGAUGACCUGUGGAUAGCGGAGAAAUUCCAAUCGAACUCGGAGAUAGCUGGUUCUCCUCGAAAUAGCUUUAGGGCUAGCCUUGAGGUAAAGUCUAAUGGAGGUAAAGCACUGAUUGGACGCGGGUCCCCAAAAGGAUACCAACUUCUAUCAAACUCAGAAUGCCAUAUAGAUAUACUCAGGAGUCAGACUAUGUGAGAUAAGUUUCAUAGUCAAAAGGGAAAGAGCCCAGACCGACAGCUAAGGUCCCAAAGUGUGUGUUAAGUGGAAAAGGAUGUUAGGUUUCUAAGACAACUAGGAUGUUGGCUCAGAAGCAGCCACUCAUUUAAAGAGUGCGUAACAGCUCACUAGUCGAGAGGUCUAGCGCCGAAAAUGUCCGGGGCUAAAACACACCACCGAAGCUACGGAAUUACCUAUGGUAAUUGGUAGAGGAGCAUUCUGUAAGGAUGAAGCACAAUUGAAAGAGAGUGUGGACGAAACAGAAGAGAGAAUGCCGGAAUGAGUAGCGAGAUAUAUGUGAGAAUCAUAUAGGUCGAAUGUCUAAGGUUUCCUGGGUAAAGCUGAUCUGCUCAGGGUAAGUCGGGACCUAAGGUGAGGGCGAGAGCCGUAAUCGAUGGACAACAGGUAGAAAUUCCUGUACUACGUAUAAUCAGAACUGUGGGGACGCAGGAGGAUAGGAAAACCGGAGAAUGGAAAAAUCCGGCUAAGUACAAAGGUGUGAGUGAUAGGCAAAUCCGUCACUAUUAGCUGAAGUACGAAUGGGAGCGAAGAAAAGUAGCGAAGUUUCUGAAUCCACACUGUCAAGAAAAGCCGCUAUUGCGUUAUACGUACCCGUACCGCAAACCGACACAGGUAGACGAGGAGAAAAUCCACAGACCGACGGGAGAAGUGUUGUUAAGGAACUCGGCAAAAUGACCCCGUAACUUAGGGAUAAGGGGAGCCAACGCAAGUUGGUCACAGAAAAGAGGCUCAAGCGACUGUUUAGCAAAAACAUAGGUCUAUGCGAAACCGUAAGGUGAUGUAUAUGGGCUGACACCUGCCCGGUGCUGGAAGGUCAAAAGGAGAGGUUAGCGUAAGCGAAGCUUUGAAUUCAAGCCCCAGUAAACGGCGGCCGUAACUAUAACGGUCCUAAGGUAGCGAAAUUCCUUGUCAGGUAAGUUCUGACCCGCACGAAAGGUGUAACGAUUUGAGCACUGUCUCGACAACACGCCCGGUGAAAUUGAAGAACCAGUGAAGAUACUGGUUACCCGCAACAGGACGGAAAGACCCCAUGGAGCUUUACUGCAGCUUAAUAUUGGGAUUCGGUAUUGUAUGUACAGGAUAGGAGGGAGACUAAGAAGCUAGCACGCCAGUGUUGGUGGAGUCGAUGGUGGGAUACCUCUCUUAUAAUACUGAAUUUCUAACCUACUUCCGUAAUCCGGAAGAGGGACAUUGUUAGGCGGGCAGUUUGACUGGGGCGGUCGCCUCCGAAAGAGUAACGGAGGCGCUCAAAGGUCUUCUCAGAAUGAUUGGAAACCAUUCAAAGAGUGUAAAGGCAAAAGAAGGCUUGACUGCGAGAGUGACAACUCGAGCAGGUACGAAAGUAGGACUUAGUGAUCCGGUGGUAACAAGUGGGAGUGCCAUCGCUUAACGGAUAAAAGCUACCCUGGGGAUAACAGGCUUAUCUCCCCCAAGAGUUCACAUCGACGGGGAGGUUUGGCACCUCGAUGUCGGCUCAUCGCAUCCUGGGGCUGUAGUAGGUCCCAAGGGUUGGGCUGUUCGCCCAUUAAAGCGGUACGCGAGCUGGGUUCAGAACGUCGUGAGACAGUUCGGUCCCUAUCCGUUGUGGGCGUAGGAAAUUUGAUAGGAGCUGUCCUUAGUACGAGAGGACCGGGAUGGACGAACCUCUGGUGAAUCUGUUGGUAACCAAUGCCACAGCAGAAUAGCCAAGUUUGGAACGGAUAAACGCUGAAGGCAUCUAAGCGUGAAGCCAACCUAAAGACUAGAUUUCCCAUGCGAAAGCAGUAAGACUCCUUGU